GCAACCUGCCUGUAAGACUGGGAUAACUCCGGGAAACCGGAGCUAAUACCGGAUAGUAUCUUGAACCGCAUGGUUCAAGUUGGAAAGACGGUUUCGGCUGUCACUUACAGAUGGGCCCGCGGCGCAUUAGCUAGUUGGUGAGGUAAUGGCUCACCAAGGCAACGAUGCGUAGCCGACCUGAGAGGGUGAUCGGCCACACUGGGACUGAGACACGGCCCAGACUCCUACGGGAGGCAGCAGUAGGGAAUCUUCCGCAAUGGACGAAAGUCUGACGGAGCAACGCCGCGUGAGUGAUGAAGGUUUUCGGAUCGUAAAACUCUGUUGUUAGGGAAGAACAAGUGCGAGAGUAACUGCUCGCACCUUGACGGUACCUAACCAGAAAGCCACGGCUAACUACGUGCCAGCAGCCGCGGUAAUACGUAGGUGGCAAGCGUUGUCCGGAAUUAUUGGGCGUAAAGCGCGCGCAGGCGGUUUCUUAAGUCUGAUGUGAAAGCCCCCGGCUCAACCGGGGAGGGUCAUUGGAAACUGGGAAACUUGAGUGCAGAAGAGGAGAGUGGAAUUCCACGUGUAGCGGUGAAAUGCGUAGAGAUGUGGAGGAACACCAGUGGCGAAGGCGACUCUCUGGUCUGUAACUGACGCUGAGGCGCGAAAGCGUGGGGAGCGAACAGGAUUAGAUACCCUGGUAGUCCACGCCGUAAACGAUGAGUGCUAAGUGUUAGAG
rnacentral:rRNA from 2 species